GCCUUGGUGGCUCAGUUGGUUGAGCGUCUGACUUCAGCUCAGGUCACCAUCUCGCGGUUUGUGAGUUCGAGCCCCGCAUCAGGCU
rfam:Felis catus isolate Cinnamon breed Abyssinian chromosome D2, whole genome shotgun sequence.